CCUACGGGAGGCAGCAGUGAGGAAUAUUGGUCAAUGGGCGCGAGCCUGAACCAGCCAAGUAGCGUGAAGGAUGACUGCCCUACGGGUUGUAAACUUCUUUUAUAAAGGAAUAAAGUGAGGCACGUAUGCCGCUUUGCAUGUACCUUAUGAAUAAGGAUCGGCUAACUCCGUGCCAGCAGCCGCGGUAAUACGGAGGAUCCGAGCGUUAUCCGGAUUGAGUGGGUUUAAAGGGAGCGUAGAUGGGUUGUUAAGUCAGUUGUGAAAGUUUGCGGCUCCACCGUAAAAUUGCAAUUGAUACUGGCAUUCUUUAGUACAGUUGCGGUAGGCGGCAUUCGUGUUGUAGCCG
rnacentral:rRNA from 1 species